rnacentral:rRNA from 1 species
UACGGGGGGAGCAAGCGUUGUUCGGAUUUACUGGGCGUAAAGGGCGCGUAGGCGGUCGUGACAAGUCACUUGUGAAAUCUCCGGGCUUAACUCGGAACGGUCAAGUGAUACUGUCGGACUAGAGUGCAGAAGGGGCAACUGGAAUUCUCGGUGUAGCGGUGAAAUGCGUAGAUAUCGAGAGGAACACCCUGGCGGCGAAAGCGGCGACCUGGACAGGUACUGACACUCAACUACGAAAGCGUGGGGAGCAAACAGG